GUUAUCCAGGCAGGGUAUAAGGUAGUGAAGGUGAUGUCGAGUGGUGGUGGUGAGCCCAGUGAGGGCGCAUCCUUGCCGUGUGUGAUGAGGGCCUGUGGGUUGCUGUGGGAUUCCCCAACCCUGGCUCCUCCGUCUCCUGCUUCUGUCCUUACUCACACUGCUGGUAGUUUUCUGGUGUGAGCCACGGGGGCAAGUGGGAUUGACAAGCCUGCUGUCCCAUUAGGAACCUGAGUUAAAGUGGAGGUGAAAGCAUGUCCUCGCUCUUGAUGUUGUGCAGAGAGCCACCUGUGCUCCUGGCUCAAUGGGGCGGGUGCGGGGGGCC
rnacentral:lncRNA from 1 species